UACGUAGGGUGCGAGCGUUGUCCGGAAUUACUGGGCGUAAAGCGUGCGCAGGCGGUUGUGCAAGACAGAUGUGAAAUCCCCGGGCUUAACCCUGGGAACUGCAUUUGUGACUGCACGGCUGGAGUGCGGCAGAGGGGGAUGGAAUUCCGCGUGUAGCAGUGAAAUGCGUAGAUAUGCGGAGGAACACCGAUGGCGAAGGCAAUCCCCUGGGCCUGCACUGACGCUCAUGCACGAAAGCGUGGGGAGCAAACAGG
rnacentral:rRNA from 1 species